CUGAGUCUGGGGCCCACAGCAGGCCAGGCACAACUCUGCCACUCCCCUUAUUCCCAGGCAGAGGGUAGGAUCCAUCGGAUUUUCCAUAUUCCUAGGCCAGUUUUGAAAGCUCCUCCCCAGAUGCUGAGACCACAUUUCCCGUGCAGGAGGAGGUGGAUGGGGAGAGUUUGCAUCUGGGAGUUUUGUCAAGAUGACUUUUAUCAUCAGUACAUGUCACAAGAAAACAUUUAAAAUGACACUGAAACAAUCAUUGAAAUCAUGGUGCAUGCUUAACCCAGCCACUUCUCGACAUGGUCUGCACAUACAGUAGAUACAUUCAUUAUUGUCCAAGGGAAGACAGUAACUGCCUUUCAUUUUAAAGAGCUUGGUGGAGAGGCUGAAGAAAUGUGCUUUCUCCUCAGCUACCUUUCCCCCAAGCACAGGAGGCCUCAGCUCCUGAAGCUCUGAAUUUACAGUACACAGUAGCAGACGGCUUGCCCUUUGGAAGGCUCCAUGGAAAGAAGGCUCAUCCCUGACUUGGGGCAACUUGACCGAAGUUUCUACUCUCCAGAAUCUCUUUUCUGUGGUCACCCGACUGGCAAGUGGAAGAUGGAAGCACCAAGGUUCCUGCAAAAGAUAGAUCAAGACCUUUGCUAUCAACCUUUCAGCCCAUCCCAAUGGCCUUGAAUGGCACGUGUCCUGGAAAACCAGGUCUGCUGCCUGUACGCCCGAGCGAAACCUAUGCUCAGCUGGAGAAGAGGACAGCCUUUCAGGGUUCAUGAAUGUUCUCCCUAGAACAGAUGGAAUGGCAGCUACAAUGCCCUUGGGAAUGUGAGGUCCUGGUGGAGUCUCUGGGGAAGUGAAAGAAGCUCCUUUAACUUGACUCCACUCACAGGACAAAGUGCAGGAGACAGAACAGAAUGGAUAGAAGAGGCUUCUCCUUUCUUCUUGCUCUAGAGUGAAGGAGAUGGACAGUUACCUUGAAAUGCUACGGGAAGGAUGAGCAUGGAGAGCUGCCUGUUAUUCUGAGCCAACUUCUGGCAAGAUGCUGGGUGAAUCGACUGCCUAGAAUUGAAGAACUGGCUCUCAAGCAGUUGCUGCUAAAGAAUGCCAGCAAACAAACCACACACAACUGUGGUAAGCCAGGCGGAAAUCCCUCCACCCUCUGGCAUGAGAUGGCAGUCUAGAAAGGACUCUCCAUGAGAUGCCUGGGGCCUGAGGAAGCAGAGGCAUGGACACACUGUUCUACGAUGACUCAGGGCCACCCAUGAGUGGGACAUUCGUGGGGAUGAGAUGGGAGCAGGGAGAAGCAGCAGUUGUAAUGGCCAGCCACGUGGGGACCAGUUCCGUGCCUGGCCUUUCUUUCUCUGGUGGAAGCCAUCUUGUUUUGAUCCUAAGAAAAAUGGGUGUCAUUUUAUCCAGGAAUCUAAGAAUUAUAAUAAUAAAU
rnacentral:lncRNA from 1 species